CGGAGGGUGCGAGCGUUGUCCGGAUUUAUUGGGUUUAAAGGGUGCGUAGGUGGGACCUCAAGUCUGGUUUGAAAGCAGGCGGCUCAACCGUGUGAUGUGGCUGGAAACUGGGGUUCUUGAAUGGGUUGGCGGCUGCCGGAACGGGUCAUGUAGCGGUGAAAUGCAUAGAUAUGACCCAGAACACCGAUUGCGAAGGCAGGCAGCUACGACCUGAUUGACACUGAGGCACGAGAGCAUGGGUAGCGAACAGGAUU
rnacentral:rRNA from 1 species